rnacentral:rRNA from 1 species
GACGAACGCUGGCGGCGUGCCUAAUACAUGCAAGUAGAACGCUGAAACUUGGUGCUUGCACCGAGCGGAUGAGUUGCGAACGGGUGAGUAACGCGUAGGUAACCUGCCUGGUAGCGGGGGAUAACUAUUGGAAACGAUAGCUAAUACCGCAUAAGAGUAGAUGUUGCAUGACAUUUGCUUAAAAGGUGCAAUUGCACCACUACCAGAUGGACCUGCGUUGUAUUAGCUAGUUGGUGGGGUAACGGCUCACCAAGGCGACGAUACAUAGCCGACCUGAGAGGGUGAUCGGCCACACUGGGACUGAGACACGGCCCAGACUCCUACGGGAGGCAGCAGUAGGGAAUCUUCGGCAAUGGACGGAAGUCUGACCGAGCAACGCCGCGUGAGUGAAGAAGGUUUUCGGAUCGUAAAGCUCUGUUGUAAGAGAAGAACGAGUGUGAGAGUGGAAAGUUCACACUGUGACGGUAUCUUACCAGAAAGGGACGGCUAACUACG